AAAAUUAAACUGAAGAGUUUGAUCAUGGCUCAGAUUGAACGUUGGCGGCACGCCUAAUACAUGCAAGUCGAACGAGAAAGCACUUC
rnacentral:rRNA from 1 species